UUUUAGUGCGACCAACGCUUGGUCUCUCAGACAGCUUGAUUUACAGUAGGUCAUUGUUGAUGAUGGGGUCCAAAAUGAACAUGUUGUUUAAAGUGAUUUUGCUCUGGACACUUAUCCAAGAAUGCAGGGGGCAGUACACACUGACUCAGACUCCAUCAGUAUUACCUGCUGCUCCUGGACAAACAGUCUCCCUGAACUGUCAAGUCAGCAGUAAAGUUCAUGGCAACAACAAAUUGCACUGGUACCAUCAGGUAUCUGGAGAGCCUCCUAAACUCCUGAUUAGGUAUGCCAGCACUCUCCAGUCAGGCACUCCAUCUCGAUUCAGUGGCAGUGGAUCUGGAAGUGCUUUCACUCUGACCAUCAGUGGAGUCCAGACUGAAGAUGCAGGAGAUUACUACUGUCAGAGUCUCCAUAUCCCCAACAGUGUGUAUGUGUUCACACAGUGAUACAGAGCCGUACAAAAACCUCCCUCUGUAAGAGUACACAUGACUGCACUGCUGCUGCUGAGACUCUGAGCAGGUGUGAAGGGGGUGUUUAGUAGAGUAGUACAUUACAUGUCUUGUGUUGUCAGCACCUCCAAUUGUCAAACUAUUUAU